UGUUACUCAUUUUCUUUUUAUUGCUUUAACAUGUCUUCACUGGAACAUGUUUCCAUUGGAGGCUGCUGGUGCCAGCUGUACACCUGGCUCAAGUUGGAAAGAAAUGGAGUUUGGCCUUUCAUCUUCGCUGUUUUCUGUUAUGAUUGGAACUGAGGGUUGGCCCCAGAUCAGACAAAGGGUGAGCUGAAAACCAUCCUCAGAGCUGGUUUCUAGAGGAAGCCUUAUAGGGUUGUGUGUGGGGGGUUUGGCUUUUUUUUUCUCCUCUCCCUUUUUGGAGCUCUUGUAUUGAGUUUAUAUACUGGCAGAGGCAGGAAACCAUUGUGUACAAUAUGGCAAACAGAGCUAACAGGCAGUCAGGCCAGAGGCUAUAAAUUAUUAUUUUAAUUUCUUGGUUUAUGGUUUCUUGUUGACUCCAGAUCAAUAGGAAAAAGAUGCAUUGAGCCACCUCUUUUAAUUAAAAAGGCUUCUGUGAUUAGGCUCUAGUGAGGGAUGAAGAGGCGCGUGAAGAGGAUGUGUCUGGAAGCAGAUGGUGGUUUCCAGGGGGAGGAAUGUUGCUUUCCCCUGUGCUGCAUCAGCCGCUCAUUUUCUAGUGGCCAACUUUCUGGAGGAGCUAUGGGAGAAACCCAACUGCAGCGCAGCACACUUCACCGAGCUUUCUUCCAGCCUGGUUUGUGUUUGCAUCCUCACAUCCCGAGCCAGCGGACCUUGUUUCCCAUCGAAUAAGAAAGCACUGUAUUUUAGCAGACUCUUGUGCUUAUUUUAAAACAACUCCAGCUUCGUUUCACCCCAAACGUGGGCCACUUGCCCCAUAGUGCUGAGAAAUGGUUGGCGUUUGGUGCCUAACAGGUGCAGCAAUGUUUUUCUUUCCAAAGAAUUUCCACAGCGAAAUGCACAUCUGUAACAAAGCCUGUGUUUUUCUGCUCAUCACCCUCAGACACGGCCGUAAUUAAAUGCAGAUAUUAAUACCGAGGGCUACUUUGUGUUCCAUAAUCCGUAGGAGAAUGACCCAUUGCAUGGCGCUCGUUUGAAGUCUUAGUUAACCUUUAAUCGUUUGAUGCUGAGUCUGGCUUUGAUUUUCACAGCAGAAGAAGUGCGUUUUGCAAAACCUUCAGGAAGGAAACGUGCCAAUCCCACAGUAUUUCUCAUCGUGCUGCGGACGUUACUGUCAAAACCUCUCGGGCAACGCUGUGAGCAGUGAGGGCUUUUUCCAUUCCUCGCUUGCGCUCUGCCUCUUGUAAGGCAGCAUCGGAGUAAUGGCUUAAAUGCUGCUAACGUUUGUUUUGCUGAAGGAGACCUGGGCCGGUAGAGCAGGGCGGCGUGGCGCAGGUCUCAGAUGUGGAAUUUCCUCAGCACGAAGGUAUGCGGAGUAGGUUCUUGAGGGAACGCUUACAGGUGUUCAGAAAAGCAGAAGUAGAAAGGUUAAACCUUCAGUGCAUUCCACGAUAAAAGCGGAGCCAACAGCCCUUCAGAAGCAUGUCAGCUUGUUUGUUUUUGCCUUGUGGGAGGUGCUGUUUAACCGGCGCUGAGCUGGCAGAUAAGGCGGUGCUGCCAUGCUGCAGAGAGGUGAAGAAUUCCCCUCGCCCGCUCCCACCCGGCGCGCUGUGUGAGCUCGAGCUGCUGUAAUAAAAGUCUGCCCUCCGCAGUGGGUUUGGCCCAGAGCCUGGGAGCUGGGAGCGGGGCUUCCCUCGGCUGUGCAAACCUGGGGGCUGUCUCCCUGCCUGUGCAACUCCAUAGCCUGCGUUUGACCGCUGUGCUGCCCUGAUCUGCUCAAACUGGGCCUUCUAGCGCUCCCCACCUCCUGAAUUUUUUGUCUCCGUGCCAGCACUUCCUUUUCACCACAAUUCCUACCCUGUAACUAUCACAGCUGACUCCUUCUCCAAAGAAUAGGAAAUAAACUCCCUUACCUCCAGCCAAGACCUGAUAACUGCUGAUAAGUGGCUUGUCAGCAGGGGCUGAGCCGGGCGCUGGUCACUGCUGGACUCGGGUCCUGAACCCUUCUGAGAGGUAACAGCUGAUGGAAGCCAAGGAAGCAGAAAGCUGUGCAAAGAAGGACUUGGAAGGGAGAUGUGCGUCCACCAUCUGUCUUUUGUGCAAGAUAUCGUAUGCUGGCUUGCCUACCUGUCCUGCCUGGUGUUUCUGUUCUUGUAUGAGCGUGGCCCCUGGUUCUGAACAUCCUCCAUGACAUUUUCAUCUCUCUGUCUGAGAGCGUUUAACACUGUUAAUAGCAUCAGCUGCUUUGGCUUACAGCUGAGAACAGCCAGGCAGGCUCUCAAAAUUGUUUCAAUGAGAAAACAAGGAUGUCCAGAACAGCAGUACCUCUGCCUUGGUUCGUGGCUGAAAUAAUCUUUCUCUUAUCUCUGCAGUGAUGUGCUGACAGAGUGCCGUCUCUCUGGCUGUACAGCCAGGACACAUGUUUUUCUCUUCUGAAAGAGGUGAAACCUCUUCCAGUGUCCCCACGACCAGAAGCUCUUCCUGAUGCUGCCUGGGGCUGCUCGGAGGAAGCAGGGACCCAAUGGCUGCUGCUCUGGGUGAGCUGGGCACUGGUAGCGCCCAACCAGCCCACGUGGGCUUGGUUCUUAUUAAUCAAAACAUGCUCGGUGGCGGCUGUCCUGCCGUGCCCUGCGUGCCCACCAUGCAAAUUCCUCUGCUGACUGCUUGCCGAUCAGGCAGCAUGUGAAGGGGAUAGCGGUUCAAGAGGCUGGGGCUGAGUCUGGCUUUGCUAUAGGCUGUGAAUGUGAUUUACACCCCGUGGGCUCCCCAGCUGGUCGCCGAAUGGGGUAGCAUGGAUGGCAUUUUCCUUUUCAAGUUUGGUUUCUGUGGAGACUCGUUUCUUCCUAGGUGAUAACUUUACAGAGGAGACUAAUGACCACAUGUUGAUGAAAUACUGCUGCGGGCCCAUCUGGAACUGACGUGCGUCUUUGAGAAACAGCUGGAAAUCUGCAUCCUCCAUCUCUAGAGCCAAAGCACUCCUUUGCUGUGAUUGCUGCCUUUGAAGCAAGCUAAACUUUCCAAGUGCAAGCUCCAGCCAAGCUUGGGCUCUGGCUCAGCGCUCUUGACACAAAGUGUUCUCCAGCCCUGGGAUAUAUAACCUUCCAAGUCUUCCCACAGCUCCUGGGCCGUGGCUUGGCAGCAGUGCUUCCCUGCGCUGGGCAGAAGCAGGUUAGAUCCAAGCCUGAGAAACCAGCGUUGCUGUAAUGAUACACAAAAUAGAAAUCUCCACCUAACCCAGGACAAAAUGCUGUGCAAUCACUUUUGGAUCGCUGUGGGCUGCUUUCGCCGCAGACGCGAAGUCUGACAUCCAAAUGCACAACAGAAGCACAGUGCUUGUGGAACACAGGAUGACACAGCCUCGGAGAGCGAUAAGAGAUUCCCAUCGCAGCCGGAGAACACCCCCGUGGCCCUUGAACUUGUGACGCCCGGCGGCUCUCGUUAUGUGCGCGGCAGCUUCCUCCUCUGCCUGCGGAAUUACAGCCUGGGUUCUCCCGGGCUAAUCGCUGUUGUGAACAACAAGAUUGAUUGCUUUCUCCUUUAAUUAUUUGCAGAUCACCGAGACUUUGCAAAAUGCUCUAGGUGACAUAAACCGCAGUUUAAUGUGUUAGCAUUUGCCCGUCUGGGGGAUUCCUGAGGCUCAGCCAGCAGCGGGGCUGUGGGAAAGGAGGAGCGCAAACACCGCUGUCCUCUGCUGACCCGGCUUGUGCUGCUGCGUCGCUGACAGCCAUAAUAGGGAGCUCUGCGGAGAGGACUGGGUGUCUCGUCCCUGUCCUCGUCCCCUUUCUCAUUACCGUGGAUGAAUUCAAGCACUUAACAGCUUUUGGCUGCUAACUGCAGCUCGGGAUCGUCGGUAACAAACUGCGUCGUGGUGUGCAGCACUGACAGCCCCGAGUGACGCUGCCCGACCGAGUGCUGCUUGCAGCUGCAGCCCCGCCGUGCCAUCCGCCUGAGGCUGCGGCUCACCCCGCGUCCCCGAGGGGGGUCACUGUCCUCCCUUCGUGGCUGCUGACCUGGAAACUGUUCUGCGAGCGCUCUGUGCACGGGUUGUCUGCCUGGGAGUCUCUGUGGCGUGCUAUUUAAACUUCGCAGAGCUGCGCCUUCU
ensembl:lncRNA